GUUUGUGUAGAUCUUUUUUUUCUAUUUGUUCUUCUUUCUUUUCUAUUUUUUAAAUUUUUUCUUCUGCUGCCUUCUACUGUUU
rnacentral:ribozyme from 14 species